rnacentral:tRNA from 3 species
GGAGAGAUGCCGGAGUGGUCGAACGGACUGGUCUUGAAAACCAGCGUACCGCAAGGUACCGGGGGUUCGAAUCCCCCUCUCUCCGC